rnacentral:ncRNA from 2 species
UACAAUAAAACUUCAGCAGGUGUACGGGAAGUCCGGUGAAAAGCCGGCGCGGACCCGCCACUGUGUGCUUGACGAUGGGACCAAAUACCACUGGAAAGAGUUUUUUCUGGGAAGGGGUUCCAAAGAGUGAAAGCAAGCCAGGAGACCGGCCUGAUGAAGAGAUGCAAG